rnacentral:lncRNA from 1 species
AUAUACUUAAUUAUGAAUUGAGUAAUGAUAUAGAUCCUAGACUUUAAAUGUGAUUUGAAUGUCUAAGACAUUGCAUAAUUCAUGAGGUAAUGGGUUAGCUAAAACAAAUCCAAUUGAGUUGGACUCAAUGGUUGAAAUCAAACUUGGUAGAGUAGUUGAUCUAAUCUAAUUAAAGUUGUUUCUUAGAUUGGUUCAAGAUUACUCUUGAUCUUUGCAAUAGUUGUAGUUGAUCAAGUCCAUGUCUUUGAUUAGACCAAAUGGAUGUUGAUUUAGGCUUCGUGGUUGAACUUGAGUUAUGAUAUUGAUCGAAUUGAAAUUGAUAAACCAGCUGGUGUCAAAGGCAAUUGUAAUCAGUAGGUUUUUAAUUAGGAGCUACUUGCUAGGUUUCGGUCCAGUCAAGUUAAUGGCAUACCCUUCCGCUGAUCU